UUAUGGACCCGAACCCGAGUGAUCUAACCAUGACCAGGAAGAAUCUUGGGUAAAACUAAGUGGAUGUCCGAACCGACCGAUGUUGAAAAAUCGACGGAUGAGUUGUGGUUAGAGGUGAAAUGCUAAUCGAACUCGGAGCUAGCUGGUUCUCCCCGAAAUGCGUUGUGGCGCAGCAUUUAUAGAUGUCCUGAAACCUGAAUAGGUAGAGCACUGUUUCGAUGCGGGCCAGUCAAAAGGUACCAAAUUGUGGCAAACUCCAAAUUAUUCGGAUUUAUACCUAUAAAAAGUGAGACUUUGGGGGAUAAGCUCCAGGGUCAAGAGGGAAACAGCCCAGACCAUCAGUUAAGGCCCCUAAAUAAUAGCUAAGUGUUAAAGGAAGUUUCCAUGCUGAAACAACCAGAAGGUUCGCUUAGAAGCAGCUAUCCUUGAAAGAAUGCGUAAUAGCUCACUGGUUAUUUCUUUUUAGGAAAAAAGCGUGGAUGCGCCGAAAAUGUCCGGGACUAAGUUAUUUGCCGAAACUGUGGGCUACGCGGUAGGGGAGCGUUCUGUUAUGAGGUGAAGGAUUUUUGAAAAAAAAUGAUAGAUCGAACAGAAGUGAGAAUGUCGGCUUGAGUAACGAAAACAUUAGUGAGAAUCUAAUGCCCCGAAAGCCUAAGGUUUCCUCUUCAAGGCUCGUCCAGAGAGGGUUAGUCAGGGCCUAAGAUUAGGCUGAAAAGCGUCAUCGAUGGAUAACAGGUCAAUAUUCCUGUACUUAUUUUUAUUUUGAGACAAGGGACGAAGGCAACAAGUUUAAACUCUUAAAAUGGUUCAGAGUGGAAAUGUUCAACAUAUGGUUUGAAAAAAAAAAAUUAAACUUGACGGCCGCGAAGCGGACCGGUCAGUAUGAAGACAUGAUACGUUAUUUGAUAAAUUUAUUUAUUAAAUAAUUUGAAUUUUGUUAUACUUCCUAGAAAAGCUUGAGACUCUUAAUAAUAAAAAUAACCUGUACCGUAAACCGACACAGGUGGGUAAGUUGAGUAAACUCAGGGGCGCGAGAUAACUCUCUCUAAGGAACUCGGCAAAAUAGCCCCGUAACUUCGGGAGAAGGGGUGUAUUUUUCUUUCCCUGAAAGAAAAAUUCCGCAGUGAACAAAUUCAUUGAACUUUUUAACAAAAAAAUAGGUCUCCGCAAAGUCGUAAGACAACGUAUGGGGGCUGACGCCUGCCCAGUGCCGGAAGGUUAAAGGAAUUGGUGAAAGCUGAUAACUGAAGCCCCGGUGAACGGCGGCCUUAACUCUGAAGGUCCUAAGGUAGCGAAAUUCCUUGUCGAGUAAGUUUCGACCCGCACGAAAGGCGCAAUCAAAUGAAUACUGUCUCAGAGAGAGACUCGGUGAAAUAGACAUAUCCGUGAAGAUGCGGAUUUCCUUACAUCAGUACAAGAAGACCCCGUGAAGCUUGACUGUAUCUUGAUAUUGGUUUCCAGUUAUUUUUGUGCAGUCUAGGUGGGAGAAUGAAAUUUCAUCAUUGAGAGACCACCCUGAAAUAACUAGAAAUCUUAAAGUGAUUCCUUGAAGCAGGACACUUGACAGUGUCUGGAGGGCAGUUUUUUUGGGGCGAAAACCUCCUAAAAGGUAAC
rnacentral:rRNA from 1 species